AUGGCUGUCGUCAGCUCGUGUCGUGAGAUGUUCGGUUAAGUCCGGCAACGAGCGCAACCCACACCCUUAGUUGCCAGCAUUCAGUUGGGCACUCUAGGGGAACUGCCCGUGAUAAGCGGGAGGAAGGUGUGGAUGACGUCAAGUCCUCAUGGCCCUUACGGGUUGGGCUACACACGUGCUACAAUGGCAUCAACAAUGGGUUAAUCCCUAAAAGAUGUCUCAGUUCGGAUUGGGGUCUGCAACUCGACCCCAUGAAGUCGGAAUCGCUAGUAAUCGCGUAACAGCAUGACGCGGUGAAUACGUUCCCGGGCCUUGUACACACCGCCCGUGGGGCGGGGGCGGCGGGCCGGGCGCGGGGCGCGGCGGGCG
rnacentral:rRNA from 1 species